AUACGGGGGGGGCAAGCGUUGUUCGGAUUUACUGGGCGUAAAGGGCGCGUAGGCGGUUCGUUAAGUCGGAUGUGAAAACUCUGGGCUCAACCCAGAGACUGCAUCCGAUACUGGCGGACUAGAGUGCGAGAGGGGAAAGCGGAAUUCCUGGUGUAGCGGUGAAAUGCGUAGAUAUCAGGAGGAACACCGGCGGCGAAGGCGGCUUUCUGGAUCGCAACUGACGCUGAGGCGCGAAAGCUAGGGGAGCAAACAGGAUUAGAAACCCCGGUAGUCC
rnacentral:rRNA from 1 species